GUUGGGAGGCUACCCAGUGUUUUGAAUUGCUUAUUGUUUUCUUUGUUUAGUUUGUGUUAUUCUGUUUCUGUGUGAUUGUUUGACUGAAUGCCUAAAGGGUGGGAAGAGAUUAAUUGUUUAAUUUGAGAGUUUUGUAAGCUAGGGAUGGGGAGCUAGAAAAUUCCUUGUUAAAUCUGAAAACCUCUGGAAAGGAAAACCUAAAACAGAGAAAAAAUCAAAAGGGGAAAAGUACCGUCCACUGCCCGGGCACCCCUAUUAGGCCGCCCUGGCGGCGACAUUGCAGAUUGAACUUUUAACUUGAGGCCCAAGCAGGCUUGGCCCAUCUCCACUCCUUUUAACCCUAAGGGUCUCGCCCAAGCCUCCACUUUAAGAUUCCCCUCAACCUAGCCUCCCUAAACACUUCUCCCAAGAGCUCUCUUCACUCUUUCCUUCUCCUAUUUCACCAAAACCCUAAGUUUCUACCAUUUGUGCAUAACCCAAGAAGCCAAAUUUGGGGUUUUUGAAAGGGUAGCAGUUAGUAUCUUGCUUGAUUGUGCUUCCACUAUGAUUCUUUUC
rnacentral:lncRNA from 1 species